GGUUCGAUGGCGUAGUUGGUUAUCGCAUCUGUCUAACAUCCUCGAUUUCUGUUGAUACCUGUACACAGAAGGUCCCCGGUUCGAGCCCGGGUCGAAUCA
rnacentral:tRNA from 1 species